rnacentral:rRNA from 1 species
AGUGAACGCUGGCGGUAGGCCUAACACAUGCCAGUCGAACGGCAGCACAGUAAGAGCUUGCUCUUACGGGUGGCGAGUGGCGGACGGGUGAGGAAUACAUCGUAAUCUACUUUUUCGUGGGGGAUAACGUAGGGAAACUUACGCUAAUACCGCAUACGACCUACGGGUGAAAGCAGGGGAUCUUCGGACCUUGCGCGAUUGAAUUAGCCGAUGUCGGAUUAGCUAGUUGGCCGGGUAAAGGCCCACCAGGGCGACGAUCCGUAGCUGGUCUGAGAGGAUGGUCAGCCACACUGGAAGUGAGACACGGUCCAGACUCCUACGAGAGGCAGCAGUGGGGAAUAUUGGACAAUGGGCGCAAGCCUGAUCCAGCCAUACCGAGUGGGUGAAGAAGGCCUUCGGGUUGUAAAGCCCUUUUGUUGGGAAAGAAAAGCAGCAGGUUAAUACCCCGCUGUUCUGACGGUACCCAAAGAAUAAGCACCGGCUAACUUCGUG